UCUUUCUGUUAGCUUCAUGAUUGGGAUGGUUCUAGCUCAUCUGGAUCUGCAAGGGAUUGUAUCCUGCUAGCUGCCACGAGACUCUUCCGCAGAGUGCUGAAUUUCCUGCCGAUGUGUUUACUUCUUGUCUCACAACGCCCAUCAAGAUGGCAUUAAGAUGGUUCUGCACACGAUCAUUACUUCAUGAGUCUCUUGAUUAUUCGCUAAUAGAUGAAAUCUCUGGCCGCCAAAAUGACCGGGAAACCCUGUUGGGCGAGUUGAAUUGGAUUUUUACUGCUGUCACCGAUACGAUUGCAUGGAAUGUUCUCCCUCAUUGUAGUUUUCCUUUUCCACUUACUGUUCUACUGUUCCAUAAUCAAAUGUUUCGUGGUGGUACAUCUAUCCAAUACUCAGUUCUGUGUUGCAGAUUUUUCCAGAGACUGUUCAGACAAGACCUGUUAGUUGCCAGCCUUUUUCGAAACUUUUUACUUGCUGACCGAAUUAUGCGAUCUGCGCACUGCUCUCCGAUCUCUCACCCAAUGUUGCCUUCAACCCACCAGCAUCAUGUGGUACUAAAGGAGAGAAUUUGGUGGCUGUUUCUUUUAUAGAAUUACCAAGAGCAGAAGGAGGCUACCCUUUUCAACGGCUUUGAUAACCAUGAUUUUCCUGACAAAGGAAUCUCCAAGCUUUGCCUUGUGAAUGAGCUUGAUGACAACUUGCUGCUGCUUCAAGCAAGAUUCUAUACGACCAAAAAAUAUGCUUCUUGGUCAGGAAGGGUGCUAUUAUUGAACAUUUCUAAAUAAUUUGCACCUUUUUGCGGUCAUAUAAUUAGGUGAUGGAAACAUUCGAAUUUGGAAAGAUUACACUUUGAAGGGUCAACAGAAGCUUGUCACUGCAUUUUCUUCAAUUCAAGGUCAUAAAUCUGGGGUGCGAAGUUUGAAUGCUGUUGUGGAUUGGGAACAACAAUCUGGAUAUCUGUAUGCUUCUGGUGACUAUCAUCCAUUAUGCUUUGGGAUCUGGAUAAAAAACAGCUUAUUAAUUCUAUUCCUUCUUCAUCACAUUGUAGCAUCUCAGCACUUCUACUUCUCAAGUUCAUGAGGGUCAACUUGCAGCUGGUUUUGUAGACGGUUCUGUCAGACUCUAUGAUGUGCGAACUCCUGAAAUGUAAGCUCAUCAUAUCUUCUUCUGGAAAGCCAGACUCUAUGAUGUGCGAACUCCUGAAAUGUAAGCUCAUCAUAUCUUCUUCUGGAAAGCCAAAAAGUAUGAGUGGUGAUAUUUCUGAUAGUGUCGCAACCAUUAGAAAAGGAGAAGUUACGAAGAGUUACAUUUGCCUCCCGGAUUCAUAAUUCCUUUAUAUGUUUUAAAAAAGGAUAAGCUCUUCUUAUCUGCUUCUGUCACUAUACGUUUGUCCCACUAUAAGUAAACAUUAAACAUGAAUAUGCUACUGGGUGUAUCUGGAAGCAUUGGUAGGUGACGAUUUGGUGGUGUUGAUAGUGAGGUUGUACACUGGGUGUCAUGACAUAAUCUCAUUAAGCAACGCAUAUGAUGGCAGCGCUGAUGGCACCAUGGGGGCUACUGCCUAGGCCAAUUAGGAUUUUAUCAGUAUCUCGACUUCUGGUGAUGGUUGCUUACGUAGUUAUUGGUGAUCGUGAGCUGAAGACACCGGCAGAGGCCGAAACUGUAUAUGCAAUGGACAAGAUGAAAGGGAGUCGCGAUUGGCAAGGGUCUUGUAUGAAAUGUUUUCGGAAUCACACCUCUGCUGUGCUUCACUAAUGAAGAUGCAGGUAUACAUUCUUUUCUACCAUCUUAGCAAUCAUAACAAACUGGUGACUGGCAUGUAAUUUCAAACAUUUCUAGCAAUUGUGUUGCUUUUGUUUUGUCCUGGCUGCAGAUUUUCUUGCGGAUACAAUGGACUACACGAUGUCCAAAAUUUGAAGGCUUAAAUCUAAUUGUAGAUAUAGAGUGUCUAAUUAUCAUUCACCAAUCGGUCUAAGUAACUAUUGUUUGGGUGGAUAUUUAAUGUUGGGCUUAGAGCAGAUGAAGGCCCAAGAACGCAAAAAGUAGAAGGAGAAUUGGGCUCAGACAGUUAACAUCCCAUGAGGAAUUAAAAAUCAAUUUUUUUUCCCAAGAAAUAGGCAGCAAGUCUAUGUGAAGUGACAAGUGACAAAGGACGGCUCACCCUCAGCAAAAAGUAUUUUUCCAUGACAUGGAUAGGUAAAUAACAAAAGUAGAUGGUGACUCACCAUACUCUUUGGAAGCUAUCACCAAAAGGGGAGGCUUGGACAAUCGGGCUAGAAGGUCUAUAAAAGUAGUAAGGGAUGCAAACAGAAGGGCUCUCAACUAAUCAAUCAAAAAAUAUUCAACUUUGCGCUUUAACAGACCAGAAAGUUUUAGUUUGUUGAACCUUUACCCCUUUCUAGUCACAGGUCCACCAUAGAAAGCAUCUUUUGUCAAGUUUUAGCAACUAUGCUACCUUUCCCUGUGUUGUAGUAUCGAAUAUCUUUAGGUAAACCCGGUUUAUGUUCCAUUUUCUAAGAUUUCAACACCUGUAAAACACAAAGUGAAGUGGCUGCAAGAAGACGAACUUUGCCUGAUAAGGUUGUAAUCUUGCCCCGAGUUUCUUUUGUUUGUACUUACAUAAAAUAGAUCUGUCGUAAUUUUAUCUUUCAUUGGAUCUUACAUCAUUUUCAACUACCUUCA